rnacentral:lncRNA from 1 species
AUAAAAAUUCCAAAUCAUCAAAUUNAAUGAAUUAAGUCAGUUUUGUCACGUCCCUUCCUAUUUACAGGGUUUGGCAGUGGAGAAUCCACGAGUUCUGUUUCAUCCUGACUGGAAAUUUGGAUUUUUCCCCCCAAAAAAGCUUCCAAACUUCAUCCAAGAUCCAAACAUCCUCCAAGGUGCCACCAUCACGCACGAUCCAACCUCGAUCCAAGAUCCAGCCACCAUCCAACAUGAAAACCUCAUCCAAGAUCCGAAGGUUAUCCAAGGUCCAACCAUCCAAGAUCCAACCGUGCUCCAAAAUCCAAUCACCAUCCACGAUCCAAAUCUCAUCCAAGAUCCAAACGUGAUCCAAGAUAUAAACACUGUCCAAGAUGCAAACCUCAUCCGAGAUCCAACCCUCAUCCAAGAUCCAAGCGUGAUCCAAGAUCCAAAUAUGAUCCAAGGCCCUCAUCUAAGAUCCAACCAUCCAAGAUCCAUCCAUCAUCCAACAUCCAAAUGUGAUCCAAGGUCCAGCCAUGAUCGAAGGUCCAAUCACUAUCCACGAUCCAAACCUCAUCCAAGAUCCAACCAUCAUCCAAGAUCCAAUCUCAUCCAAAAUCCAAACCUCAUCCAAGAUCCAAACCUCAUCCAAGAUCCAAACCUCAUCCAAAAUCCAAACCUCAUCCAAAAUCCAACCAUCAUCCAAGAUCCAACCUCAUCAAGAUCCAACCAUCAUCCAAGGUCCAACUGUGAUCCAAGAUCCAACCAUCAUCCAAGGUCCAAUCUCAUCAAGGAUCCAA